rnacentral:tRNA from 7 species
UGACCUAUGGUGUAAUGGUAACACACCAGUUUUUGGUUCUGGUUUUCUAGGUUCGAAUCCUGGUAGGUCAA